UGCUAUUUUUUUCAAGCGAUUCUGGCAUCUGUUGGAGGAUGAUCUAGUGGAGGAGGUACUGGGAGCAAUCCAACGCGCCGAAGUACCGGUGGGGUGGAACGAUGCAACCAUUGUUAUGAUCCCUAAAGUUGAUAACCCCGACAAAGUGACACAAUUCCGACCCAUAUCUUUAUGCAAUGUGGUGUAUAAAGUGAUAUCCAAGAUGUUAUCUUUCAGAUUGAAACAAAUUUUACCUGAGAUUAUUAGUGACCAUCAGAGUGCUUUUGUCCCGGGGAGAUUAAUAACGGACAAUAUACUUUUAGCAUAUGAAUGUAUACACACAAUGAAAAGGAAGAAGGGAAGAAAGGGGUUAUGUGCAGUAAAGUUGGACAUGCAUAAAGCCUAUGAUAGAGUUGAGUGGGGGUUUUUGGAAAAGAUCAUGACUAAAUUCGGUUUUGAUCAACGUUGGAUUAAACUCAUUAUGGCUUGUGUUUCUUCGGUCAGAUACAACGUCCGUUUUAACAAUGCUGAGACGGAUGUUUUUAUACCUUCUAGGGGGUUGCGCCAAUGAGAUCCUUUAUCUCCAUAUUUGUUUCUGAUGGUUGCUGAAGGUUUGUCUUGUAUGAUAAGGAAGGCAGAAGAAAGAGGAGAGUUGGAUGGGGUGAGAGUUUGUAGAGGAUCACCAACAAUUUCCCAUCUCCUUUUUGCAGAUGACUCACUCAUCUUAAUGCAAGCUGAUAAAAAGAAUGCUGAUUGCUUGGCAAGCUUACUGGACAGAUAUUGUGCAAAUUCAGGACAGAAACUAAGUGAGGCCAAAUCGAGCAUUUAUUUUUCUCGUAAUACAAGAGGUGGAUGUUAAAACGGAAGUAUGCCAAAUCCUGAAUAUUAUGACAGAAGCUCUCAGUGACAAAUAUCUCGGUCUUCCGGCUCUGGUGGGUACUGACCGUAGUGAUUGUUUUCGUCACUUGAUUGACAGGGUUGUGUCUCGUAUAGAUGGAUAGAAGGAGAAAAUUCUAAGCAUGGGAGGGAAGGAGAUUCUUAUUAAAUCUAUAGCUCAGGCCGUCCCAGUAUAUGCUAUGAUGGUGUUUAAAAUUCCAAACAAAAUUUGCAAAGGAAUCACAGAUGCCAUCUCGCAGUACUGGUGGGGGGAUGAUGCAGAUCAUAGGAGAAUCCAUUGGCAAGAAUGGUGGAAGAUGUGUAUGCCGAAGGGCAAGGGAGGCAUGGGAUUCAGGGAUCUACAGUCUUUCAAUUUGGCAUUGUUAGCAAAGCAGGUAUGGAGAUUGCUAAGUGAUCCUGACUCUCUAUGUGCUAGAGUGCUUCGAGCUCGGUACUACCGGGAUGGUAAAUUACUGAAUGCCAGAAUGAAGAGUGGGAGUUCCUAUACCUGGCAGAGUAUACUAGCUGGUUUGCAAUGUUUCAAGCAAGGUUAUAUCUGGCGGGUUGGGGACGGUACACAGAUCAAAAUCUGGGAAGACAACUGGAUUCCAGGUAGCCAUAAUAUGAAAAUCCAAACAAAUAGGGGGAAUAAUUUGGUGGCUACCGUGGAUGAGCUGAUAGAUCCCAUAAAUUUCACAUGGGGUGGAGACCUGCUGAAAACUAUUUUUUGGCCGAUUGAUGUUUGUCGAAUUAUGCAAAUUCCUAUCCGGGCUGGAAGGGAUGAUUUGGUGGCCUGGCAGUAUAAUAGAAGUGGUACCUUUUCAGUAAAGUCGGCAUAUCACUGUCAGUGGGAUUAUAAGUUUGGGGAGAGAAGCGCACAAAUGCAGGCUAGUACUGCAUCGAGGAGUCGGUUAUGGAAGAGGUUGUGGAAUUUAAAGGUUCCAGCAAAAAUCAAGAUUUUUGGUUGGCGGGCACUCAAAGGUUUAGUGCCGUGCCGGGCGAUUCUUGCAAAUCGACAUGUGGGUGAUUCGGGAGGUUGCCCAGUCUGUCAGAACGGACCCGAGGAUAUAAAACACAUGAUUUUUACAUGUGCUCGAGCGAAGCAAGUGUGGAAUUCGCUGGGAGUUGAAGAUAGGAUACAACGUCUAUGUAUGACGGAAAGAUCGGGUUCUGUAAUUCUUGAGGAAAUAUUAAUCAGGGAGGAUCAAGUUCAGGAUCUUCAGGUGGGAUUUGCAGAGCUUGUCAUCACAGCUGCCUGGUAUAUAUGGUGGGAGCGACGACAAUUGGUCCAUGGCGAGGCUGUUCAACGUCCGGCAAGGUCUGGCAUGGCAAUUGCGGCUCUCACCAAGAACUAUAAACUGGCAACAAAGAAAGAUUCAGUCUUAAGACAAGGAUGGAAGAAGCCACCGGAGGGUAAAGUGAUGGUGAAUGUUGAUGCCGGAUUCGAUGAGAUGGGUGGAUGUGGUACUGUUGGCUCUGUCAUCAGAGAUUGUUCAGGUGGAGUUCUAGCAGCUGCUCAUAGUUUUGUACCGCAUCUGGUGGAUGCUCCGAUGGCGGAGGCCUUUGCGCUGAAAGAAGGACUGAUGCUAGCUCAGCAGAUAGGAUGCAAUCGGUUGAUUAUCCAAUCGGACUGUAUGGAGGUAGUACAAAUUAUGACGGAUGGUGGCUUCACAGCGAAUUCGGCAGCUGCAAUUUAUGAAGAUUGCAACAUCCUAUGGAGUGGUUUUGCUGAUAUAACGAUAGAACAUUGUAGCAGGGAGGCGAAUCAGGUGGCUCACAACCUAGCUAGAAGAGCUCGAGAGUAUGAGACAAAUUGUACUUGGGUCGAUGAGCCCCCUAGAUUUAUUUUAGACUCGUUGAUGAACGAUGUAACUAUCUUGAAUGAAUAAAGUUUAGCCGGUUUGUUUCAAAAAAAAAAGUAUUUGCAAAAAAGAAAAACAAAACAGUUUUUUACAACAACCUCACCCCUCUGCAUUCAUUCAUCCGGAGAAGAUAUGUACAGUUCUUGAAUGCACAGUAUGUGAAGAGUAUGGGACCAUCAACUAGUGUUCUAGUGUUCUUCACUUCACUGAUUGAAGCACUAGCCUACUCCAGUUGUUAAUGGCUGUAGACUAUAGAUAGAUCUUAAAUGUAUUUUUUUUCAGUGUACUGAUCACAUUCUUGUUUCUUCUCAAACUUAUAAGCAUAACCCAUCUGGUUGGUUGGAGAAGAAAAUGUACUGUAGCACAACCACAGGGUCUGGUGGUUGGCGCUCUGUCUGUCACGCUCACGCAGGCAGCAACUACUCUUUUGCGACUCUGACUGUCAAAAUGUCCAAAAUGGCAGGCAGCCUUGUCUGUCCUCUUCAUUUGGAAGGAGGUGUAACCCUGUUGCCUUCCUAAUUAACUGGAAGAUAUACCACCCGCCAAGUCUGACCUGACCGUCUCAAGCCAACCCACGAAGUUCCAAAUUUUUGGGAGAGCCAUUGCUUUACUUGCUUGUUUGUUAUCAUCACUGACCAAACAGAAAACAGUUACAAGAACACAUCUUUGAGUUUUGGGCGGAUCCAAUACAAAUAAUUGAAACAGAAAGCUUUAAGCUGCUGGUGUUCCCUAAUCCCUACCAAGCCUUUACUUGUCUCCUUUCUGGUGGAGGAGAGGGCUCAGAGGGGCCUUUACGAAUUGCAAAUUUGCAAUGCUUCUUGCUUGUGAUUGUGACGACGAUGCACAAACCGCAGACACAAUUAAUGGCGACGCCCCGAUGCUCAGCAGCUACCGCGCACCGCCGCUCGCCGACCACCUCCUCGACAAGCCGCACUGGCUCAGCCAGCUCAAACCAUGGCGCCGCCAUGCCCACGGCGACGACCACCUCUCCGCCGGAAUCGCCAUCAACUGGAGCUCUGUGCGUU